UACAGAGGUCCCGAGCGUUGUUCGGAUUCACUGGGCGUAAAGGGUGCGUAGGUGGUGAGGUAAGUCGGAUGUGAAAUCUCCAGGCUCAACCUGGAAACUGCAUUGGAAACUACCUUGCUGGAGGAUUUGAGGGGGGAUUGGAAUACUUGGUGUAGCAGUGAAAUGCGUAGAUAUCAGGAGGAACACCGGUGGCGAAGGCGGGUCUCUGGGCAGUAACUGACGCUGAGGAGCGAAAGCGUGGGGAGCGAACAGG
rnacentral:rRNA from 1 species